rnacentral:misc_RNA from 1 species
CAACCCUCAUGCCCCCUGGGGCGUGGUGUUGGGGACCGGCCUCGACCCCCCCCUCGCGGGGGGGCGGCCGCCCCCUAAAUCCAGUGGCGGACCCGUCGCGGCCUCCUCUGCGCAGUAGUGAUAUUUCGCAGUGGAGAGCGGCGGGCCCCUGCCGUGAAACCCCAACUUCUCAAGG